UUUUUUUCAUUUUAAGAUACUGAUGCUUGGCUCAGAGGAGGGCGUCGUUAUCAAGGUUUGAAUAAAGAAAACCGGAGAGAUAUGAUUCCGGGAAACUCGAGAGAACCUAAUGCAGAAAACCGGAGAGAUCAAUAUCCGGAAUGGAAUCCGAGAAGAGAUAUGAAUCCCGGAAACUUGGGAAAACCUAAUGCAGAAAACCGGAGAGGUCUAUUUCCGGGAAGUUGGCUCCAAAUGCAGAAAUCCAGAGAGAUCUGAAUGCGGAAAACUGAAGACAUGACAAAUGAAAAAUGUGAAAUAACUAAGCAGUUUCAAGUCUGAAAUUGUAUUCUUAGUGUAUUUUAUUAAAGCAAAUGAUAAAAACA